AGGCUUCCUGCUUAAUGAACCGAAAAACUCGGCGGAGGUCGUCCCCUUCUGCAUGGCCUCCACCGCCCUUCCUUCAUCGAGCUCGGGAAUCUGCAGGGCUUCUGUAUUGAAACGAGCUACGUACUCUCUAAGCGAUUCCUCCCGUCUCUGCCUUACUGUUUCCAGAUAGCUCGUCUUCCUAUCCGCUGGCACCCCGGCGAUGAACCGGCUGAUGAAACGAGUGGCCAGGUCUCCAAAACUCCCAAUGGUUCCAGUCUCUAGGCUGUUGAACCACGCUCGCGCUGGCCCUGA
rnacentral:lncRNA from 1 species